AUUUUACUGGGGAUCCUUGUCUACUGGAGGUCUUCUAAAGGCGAGACAUCAUAACUACCACCACUCUGUAUCACAGAGUCACAGAAUCGCAGCUGUUGGAAGGGACCUCUAGAGAUCACCCAGACCAACCCCGCUGCUAAAGAUGUUUCCCUUCAGCAGUUGAUCCAUGGUACAUUUCGCGUUGGAGCUGAGAACUUCUACACUGUAUUUUUAUUCCUAUUUUCAUGAGGGCUUUUGGAACAACAGCUGUGAUUUUUCCUGGCUCAUAACCAUCAGCAGCCGUAAGGAAACAGCAAUCAGAAUGGAGGAGACAGAUCUGCUGAUGAAGCACAAGCCUGCCUGCUAUCUCAUCCCUCUCACAGACCCCUUUGUUGGCUCUGUACUGCUGAAAGGAGCAGCAUGCAACAAGAACUGUGUUUUGUCAAUUGCAUAAACAUAUAGAACUAAAUAUGAAUUACACCCUAUUCGGUCUGCUAAAAUCGAUGGCAGCUUUCCAGUUGUGGAGUAGGACUAAAGAAAGGAUCUGUUCAGCAAGAAAGGGAUUUCCAGGAUAAUCACUUUCCUGGGUAGACCUGCAGUGAUUAGUUUAUGUAGACUUUAGUUCUUAAGCUGUUUUCACGCUAUCUGGUUGCCUGCAUACCAUGAUGCUGAAUGUCACUUGUCAAAGGUUGUUACUUCACUGCUUGGUCAUUCACGCUACUGGCCGUUGCAGAGAAAUGGAAAGUACAUGCUCUUUCUUUUGUGGAAGAGUAUCUUUAUAAGGAUCCAGUUUCCUUGUGAGAGCAUUGCAAGUUGUGUAAAUUAGUUUUACAUUAAGAAUAUUAAGAAAUAUUAACUGUCAGGGUUAAUAGGUGAAUAAGAAGACUAAUUUAUUCUUCAAGGAAAAGUGGAACAUUUCAAGUGGCAGAAACUCUAGAAACACUUGCAAAGAG
ensembl:lncRNA